rnacentral:lncRNA from 1 species
GGAAGGAGAGAGAUCUUUGUUUAGAGAAAGACCCUGACAGUUUCCAUUGAAGAUGGAGAAUAAGACCUGUUAAAGAAAUCUGGAAGGAGGCACUGAAACCCGGAACUCCUGGGCUAGCCUACUUGAAGAUGAGACACCAUGUGGAGCAGAGAAGCCUUCCCAGCCGAGCCCCACAGACCAAACCGGGUUUCUAGUUGCAAGAUCAUCUAUCCCCAGUGGAGCUGCCAGCUUACUGGAGAGUCAGCUGAGCCAACCCAUGCCUGAAGAACUCUCAGCUGACCCAGAGAAUGAUGAGAAAUAAUAAACAUGAGAAAUAAAGUUUGUUGUUUUAAGCCACU